CAAUUUGAAGCCCAGAGUUGCUGCUUAUAUUCAGCGUCGUCUUUUCUGUUUGGAGCCUGGACCUUUCACGUAAGGAGUGUGUGGGCUGUAACAUUUUAUGCUCUGGAAACACGUUCCGCCAUCUCGCACCAAAGCAAAUCCUAGCUUACUGGGAACACCGAGCGCUGCACACUCGGGCUAAAAGAGCAGCAGGUUGCCAGUGAAGCGUACAGGAAGGAUCCAAGAGGGAGCGAGGAUUCACAGGAAGGCUGAGAGUCAACAGCCGAGCUGAAUCCCCAGAGAUUUCUGCCUGUCUCGCCCUAUUGAAGUGGACAAAGUAUAUUUUCACACAGCUGGAGCAGAGAGAAUGAGCUCAGAUGGAGGGAAAGUCAAGAAAGUGCAUAACUAGAGCACUAACGAGUCGACUGACGGACAAACUCAGCAGAAGUUUAAUUAUGAAGACAAACCUCUAAAGAAGAAUUUGCUGCUGAAAUAUCCCCACGGAG